UUGUUAACCUUCCGUGCACUAGGUGGGGUGUGACACACCCCAGUCCUCGAUAAUUCAAAAUUAUUUGAAAACUAUAAAAGCGCGGCAGUACAUGUUCUGAGUAGCUGGAGAUGCGAUGUUGCCGCUUCGAUUAGCGCAUUUACGUUAGUCCGGUGACUGCCGCCAAGCUAGUUACGCGCGUUUUAAGUGCGCAUGGGCAUCACAUACCCCACCUCGUUCAGCGCGUCGUUAUAAAGAUUUCAAUUUAUAAAAGAAUAUGUCUAAAUUGACAGACUCAGAUAUAUUAAGAGCACUUUUAGAUGAAACAAAUGAGUUUGAGUCACAAAAUGAGAAU